rnacentral:rRNA from 1 species
CUACGGGAGGCUGCAGCGGGGAAUAUUGGACAAUGGGGGAAACCCUGAUCCAGCAAUGCCGCGUGUGUGAAGAAGGCCUGCGGGUUGUAAAGCACUUUCGGUUGGGAGGACUGCUUCUAGCACUAAUAUUGUUGGAAGUUGACGUUACCUUCAGAAGAAGCACCGGCUAACUCCGUGCCAGCAGCCGCGGUAAUACGGAGGGUGCAAGCGUUAAUCGGAAUUACUGGGCGUAGAGCGCGCGUAGGCGGCUAGAUCAGUCGGGUGUGAAAGCCCCGGGCUUAACCUGGGAACUGCAUCCGAUACUGUCUAGCUUGAGUACAGGAGAGGAGAGUGGAAUUCCACAUGUAGCGGUGAAAUGCGUAGAUAUGUGGAGGAACACCAAUGGCGAAGGCAGCUCUCUGGCCAGAUACUGACGCUGAGGUGCGAAAGCGUGGGGGGCAAACAGGAUUAGAUACCCUGGUAGUC